GGCCCAUUGGUCUAGCGGUAUGAUUCGCCCUUCGGGUUAUUAUCCGGCUCUCUAAAAGACGUCAGAUGGGCGAGGUCCCGGAUUCGAAUUCCGGAUGGGCCC